CUUGCACAAUAACAACUGUAAGGGCAAUAUAUGCAGCUAGCAUGUCUGGUGACCAGCAGACAUUUUCAGGGCUGUCAGAACGUACAGCCUCCCUUAGGAUUGAGUUAUAAUGGGAGCAUUCAGGGAUCUAUUGGUGGCAGUAAUUAAUCAUGCCGAGGAAGGUGAGCAACUCCUUCCGAGUAGUGGGUGUUGGAAUCCUCUGAAUGACCUCAAUACGUUUUGGACUCAAUUGUCUGGUGCCUAAAGCCAGAACAAAACCUAAGUAUUCAACCUUUGAUUUACACAAUUGCAUUUUGUGUUUAACAACCUUGUGACCUACAGUUGCUGACAGUAUCCACAGUGCUUGCCUCAUAGCUAGGGUUACAUAACAACAAAUCAUCAACAUUUUGCAAAAAGGACGGAACCAUGACCGGUGGUCCAUGUUUUUUUAGAGUAUGUUAGAGUACCAACGAAUAAACAGCUGGGGAAUCCACAUAGCCUUGGGUAAGCGUGUCCAGGUAAACUGACAGCCUUCAAAAAGUAAAAACCAUAAGUAGCUGUG